GAGGAGGAAGAAGAGAGGAAGAAGAGAGGAAGAAGAGGGAGAAGAGAAGAAGAUGAAGAAGAAGAAGAAGAAGAGGAGGUGGCUGCAGCGAGGGCUGCAGCGAGAAGCUGUGGGGCGUGGGGAGAAGAAGAGAGGAAGAAGAGGGAGAAGAGAAGAAGAAGAAGAAGAAGAAGAAGAAGAAGAAGAGAGGAUGAUAGCUGCGGCAAGGCUGCAGCGAGGAGGUGUGUGGGGUUGGGGAGGAAAAGGGAAGAGGAGAAGAAAAGAAGGAGAAGAAGAGGGAAAAGAGAGGGAAGAGGGAGAGAGCGAGAGGUGGCAGCAGCUAGGGCUGCAGCACCUCUGUUUCCUGCAGGUGGAAACAGAGGAGAGGUGGGGCGUUCGAAGAGGAGAAGAAGAAGAAGAAGGAAGAGAAGAGGAAGAGGAAACAGGAGAAGAGGUUGUGAUACCUCUGUUUCCUGCAGAGGAAACAGAGGAGAGGGUGUGUGUGACGUCGGGGAGAAGAAGGGGAGGAAGGAGAAGAAGAGAAGAAGAAGAAAGGAAGGAGAGGAAGAAGAGAAGGGAAAGGAGGAGCUGCGGCUGCGGCGGUGGCAGCUGCAGCUGGAAGAGAAGGAGAGGAAGAGAUGGUGAGGAAGAAGAGAAGAAGUAGAAGCGGGUGAAGAGGCGGCACCUCUGUUUCCUGCAGGAGGAAACAGAGGAAAGGAGGUGCUGUUCGUCGGGGAGAAGAAGGGGGCUGCAGCUGCGGCGAUUGCAGCUGCAGCUGGAAGAGAAGAAGAAGAGGAAGAUGAGCAGGGGAGGAGGGAGAGGUUGCGGCCGUGGCUGCGGCCGCGACUGCAGCAGUUGCAGCGGGAAGAGAAGAAGAAGAAAGGAAGGAGAAGGAAGAGGAGAAGGGAAAGAAGUAGCUGCGGCUGCGGUUGUGGCAGCUGCAGCUGUGGCAGGGAAAGAGGAAGAGAAAAAGGAAAGGAAGAAGAAGAGAAAGGGAAGGAGAGGAAGAAGAGAGGAAGAGGAGAAGGGGCUGCGGCUGCGGCGAUGGCAGCUGCAGCUGUGGCUGGGAAAGAAGAGAAGGAAAGGAAGAAGAAGAGAAAGGGAAGGAGAGGAAGAAGAGAGGAAGAGGAGAAGGGGUGGCAGCUGCGGCAGUGGCAGCUGCAGCUGGAAGAGGAGGAGGAAAUAGAGCAGGGGAGGAAGAAGAGGCUGCGAGUGUGGUGGCUGCGGCCGUGGCUGCGACUCCGGCUGCGGCUGCGACGUUGGCUGCGGUAGCUGCGGCAGCGGUGGUGGCUGCCGUAGCUGCUUUUGGGGAAGAGAAAGAGUAGGAACGAGAGAAGGGAAGAAGGAAAUAGUGCAGUGGAAGGGGGCUGCAGUUGUGACCGCAGUUGCGAUUGUGGCAGCGGCAGCGGCGGCGGCUGUGGCAGCUGCGUUUGGGAAAGAAAAAGAAGGAAUGAGAGUAAGAGAGAGCAGGUGACUGUGCCUCGAUGUUCGACACGUGAUGUAGUUACGAAGAAAGGAAGAAAACGGGAGCACAAAACGAAACAGAGAGAGGACACGGAGGAAAAGUAGAAAGAUUGGACUGGCACCUUCCUUGGAUAUUUAGAUCAAAAUAUUUGAAAGGUCAGCUUGUUACUCUUCGAGAUGUUUGAUUUGGGCUGAGGCAGUGGAUAGCUAUUCAGAAUGAUGGGCAAGUCUGGUUGGUUAUUACGAUAUUGUUGUAUAAGUAUGUUUUGUAUGUAAUGAAAUGUUGUCGAUGAACCGAAAUGGAUAUACCGUGUAAAAGUGUUAGGAGAUCUCUCUUAUUUGAAAUUUCUGAAUGUUAAGCCUAAUUUAUAAUGAUAUGAACUUGUGGUGAAUAGUUGGAGUUCUGAUUGUAUAAAUUAUUUAGCUUGUGGAUUUAUAAAUAUUGUUCAUGUUUGUCAAGUUGGCUUGGGUUGCCAUAAAUGUGAAUUAUUGAGUGAUGUGAUAUAUGAUUAUAAACUGCACAGGUUUUAUGGAUGUGAAUAUGAAUAGAAUGUUUUUCAGUGUCCUCAAACGUUAGGUUGGAUCCUGGAUUGGUCUGUGAUGAAAACUUUUAAAAAUCAUGGAUAUUUUGAGGGGCGUGACAGAGGUGGUAUCAGAGCAUGGUUUGAGGAUCACUGAAAUAUUUGAUAUGUUGACGUGCAAAAUAUAUUGAGGUCUAGUGAAUUAUAGUGAUUGGUGGAAAUAUUUUCUUUGAUGCAUUUUAGGAAUCUGGGAUGAUGAGGACAUUUGGUCCUCCUAUUUCAUCUGAUUUCGAUUAAUUAAGUGGGAUGAAAGGGGUAAUCGGGGAUAUUGAAUCAGAGUGGCGCAGCAGAAGCAUGGUGUACCUAAUCUAUUGGUGGUCGAAAAAUGGAUGAUGCGAAUUGAGAAAUAUUUGAUGUUCAAAAUUGUUCUGAUGAUCAAAAGAUUUCUUUUGCCACCUUAUAUUGGAAGUAGAGGCUGAUCAUUAAUGGGAACAAUGAAAAGAAUUUUUGGAAAUUAGUGGUAAGAAUGAUAAGGACAAGUUUACCAAUAAAAAUAUGAUUGAAAAUGAAUUAGGAAGUGAUAACGAGAGGGUCAAGACAUUUGAAUUUGAAAAGGAAGACACCACAAAAGACUCAAUCACGUGUGGAUUGCAAGUUAAAUUAUGAAACAAGUUUGUGUUUUCGGGUGACUAGAGUCUAUUUUGCUUGUGGAAAGUUGGAUCAUAAAAUAAAAGACUGCCCUUUGAACAAGAAGAAAGAGUCACUGCCUCAUAAAUCAUCUGCCCAAGUCAGAGUGUAUGCUAUCACUGAAUAUGAUUCUAAAACUUCUGAAUUAGUGAUCGAAGGUAUUAUGCAUGAUUAUGAAAAAAUGUAAAUAUUUGUUUGACCAUGGGUCCUAUCUACGAUUUGAUUCGUAAUAUUUUGCUUAUCACUUGGGUAUGCAACCUAGACCAUUGCAAUAUGUGCUAUAUGUAAAUAUAAUCAUUGGAGAUUUUUUUGAUAACGAACUUGAAUCUGGUCCUCUUGUCUGAUUUUUAUUGGAGAACUUGAACUUUUGCUGAUUUAGUUCUCCUAAAGAUUUGGAGUUUUGAUAUCAUACUUGUUAUGGAUUGACUAUCUUCCUAUCAUACCAGUAUGGAUUGGUAUAUAACAAAGGAUCACUUUUUGCAUAUUUGAUCAGCCCAUCUUUUAUUUGAAAGUAUUGGAUAUGAUUUUAUUUCCUUGCCUAAUGUAUCCCAAGAUGACUUGCCUGGAUUACCUCCAAAUGUGAUUUUGCUUUUGAUUUCGUCCUUGGGACAAUCCCUAUAUCUAAGCCUCUCUGCAGAAUGAUAUCAUUUGAGUAAGUGGAAUUAGAAAAACAACUACAAGGAUUAUUAAAUGAGGAUUUUAUUUGGCUUAAUAUUUUAUCAUGGGGUGCUCUGGUGUUAGUUAAAAAGAUGGAUGGAACAUGGAGGCUUUGUAUUGAUUAUGGAUAGUUGAAUCAGAUGAUCAUCAAAAACGAGUAUUUUCUGAAGUAACGAUUUGCUUGAUUAAUUACAGGGUGCGCAAGUAUUUUUGAAAGAUUGAUUGAAGGUCGGGUUUACCAUCUAUUGAGAAUCAAGAAGGAGAAUAUUUCGGUCACUCUUGGAAAAUUGUGUAAUUGUAUUGAAUUGAUGAAAUUAUUUAAGAGUAGGAGGAGGAAAUAAAGAAAUCAUAAUCCUCAUCUUUUCAUCGAUUGAGCUAUGACCAAUUUAGAGGACUAAAUUUUCUUUUAAGGGGGGGAGAGUGUAAUAUCCCCCACUUUUAAAAAUGUAUUAAUAAGGAUUUAUAUGUAAAUUGGGGGACCUAUAUGUAAAUAUAGAAAUUACAAGGACUAAACUGCUAAGUUGCAAAAAAAAAAAAAAAAAAAAAAAAAGGAAAAACCGAAAAUUCGGUAUUAUCCCACCGCCUCCCACGCACUCUGUUUCUUUCCAGAAACAGAGAGAGCGGUGGGGCGUGAGGAGGAAGAAGAGAGGAAGAAGAGGGAGAAGAGAAGAAGAUGAAGAAGAAGAAGAAGCUGCAGCGAGGGCUGCAGCGAGAAGCUGUGGGGCGUGGGGAGAAGAAGAGAGGAAGAAGAGGGAGAAGAGAAGAAGAAGAAGAAGAAGAAGAAGAAGAAGAGAGGAUGAUAGCUGCGGCAAGGCUGCAGCGAGGAGGUGUGUGGGGUUGGGGAGGAAAAGGGAAGAGGAGAAGAAAAGAAGGAGAAGAAGAGGGAAAAGAGAGGGAAGAGGGAGAGGAGCGAGAGGUGGCAGCAGCUAGGGCUGCAGCACCUCUGUUUCCUGCAGGUGGAAACAGAGGAGAGGGGGGCGUUCGAAGAGAAGAAGAAGAAGAAGGAAGAGAAGAGGAAGAGGAAGCAGGAGAAGAGGUUGUGAUACCUCUGUUUCCUGCAGAGGAAACAGAGGAGAGGGUGUGUGUGACGUCGGGGAGAAGAAGGGGAGGAAGGAGAAGAAGAGAAGAAGAAGAAAGGAAGGAGAGGAAGAAGAGAAGGGAAAGGAGGAGCUGCGGCUGCGGCGGUGGCAGCUGCAGCUGGAAGAGAAGGAGAGGAAGAGAUGGUGAGGAAGAAGAGAAGAAGUAGAAGCGGGUGAAGAGGCGGCACCUCUGUUUCCUGCAGGAGGAAACGUAGAGGAAAGGAGGUGCUGUUCGUCGGGGAGAAGAAGGGGGCUGCAGCUGCGGCGAUGGCAGCUGCAGCUGGAAGAGAAGAAGAAGAGGAAGAUGAGCAGGGGAGGAGGGAGAGGUUGUGGCCGUGGCUGCGGCCGCGACUGCAGCAGUUGCAGCGGGGAGAGAAGAAGAAGAAAGGAAGGAGAAGGAAGAGGAGAAGGGAAAGAAGUAGCUGCGGCUGCGGUUGUGGCAGCUGCAGCUGUGGCAGGGAAAGAGGAAGAGAAAAAGGAAAGGAAGAAGAAGAGAAAGGGAAGGAGAGGAAGAAGAGAGGAAGAGGAGAAGGGGCUGCGGCUGCGGCGAUGGCAGCUGCAGCUGUGGCUGGGAAAGAAGAGAAGGAAAGGAAGAAGAAGAGAAAGGGAAGGAGAGGAAGAAGAGAGGAAGAGGAGAAGGGGUGGCAGCUGCGGCAGUGGCAGCUGCAGCUGGAAGAGGAGGAGGAAAUAGAGCAGGGGAGGAAGAAGAGGCUGCGAGUGUGGUGGCUGCGGCCGUGGCUGCGACUCCGGCUGCGGCUGCGACGUUGGCUGCGGUAGCUGCGGCAGCGGUGGUGGCUGCCGUAGCUGCUUUUGGGGAAGAGAAAGAGUAGGAACGAGAGAAGGGAAGAAGGAAAUAGUGCAGUGGAAGGGGGCUGCAGUUGUGACCGCAGUUGCGAUUGUGGCGGCGGCUGUGGCAGCUGCGUUUGGGAAAGAAAAAGAAGGAAUGAGAGUAAGAGAGAGCAGGUGACUGUGCCUCGAUGUUCGACACGUGAUGUAGUUACGAAGAAAGGAAGAAAACGGGAGCACAAAACGAAACAGAGAGAGGACACGGAGGAAAAGUAGAAAGAUUGGACUGGCACCUUCCUUGGAUAUUUAGAUCAAAAUAUUUGAAAGGUCAGCUUGUUACUCUUCGAGAUGUUUGAUUUGGGCUGAGGCAGUGGAUAGCUAUUCAGAAUGAUGGGCAAGUCUGGUUGGUUAUUACGAUAUUGUUGUAUAAGUAUGUUUUGUAUGUAAUGAAAUGUUGUCGAUGAACCGAAAUGGAUAUACUGUGUAAAAGUGUUAGGAGAUCUCUCUUAUUUGAAAUUUCUGAAUGUUAAGCCUAAUUUAUAAUGAUAUGAACUUGUGGUGAAUAGUUGGAGUUCUGAUUGUAUAAAUUAUUUAGCUUGUGGAUUUAUAAAUAUUGUUCA